AUGAGGAGUGGGGCUGUCAAGGAUUCUAGCCGUUGCCAUUGCAUCUUGAGUCCAACGUGUCCGACGUGCCUCAUGCUCUUCCCACCGCCUGCCAAUCAUCUCAAAUUGCAUGGUGGCUUGAGGAGGUGGGUAAAUAGAAUCAAGGGCAAAAGGGCGCUUCUAAAGUUCUUUUUGGUAUGUCAUCCUCAGGAUGCGAAUCCACGUCUCUGGGGUCGAAAAGGUCACAAACAGAAAACCUGCUGCACUUCUGAGUCUUCACAGAUUUCAGUGAUUUGGUCCAAAUCCAGAAACCAUCUUGAGACAAUAAAAAGGCUGCUGAAUGGGAACCAAGCAGGACGGCUCAACUCUCACCGAGGAAUGAACUGACCCAGGCAAAUAACAUUGCAGUCCACUUAAAUUUCUUGUUUACGUCGAUUGGAAACUAAUUUAAACAGAACACUCAAAGUUGGUGCCGAUCAGCCAUCUCCUAUCAAGUUUGUGUAUCAUGUACUUGCUCCAUUUUUUUCUACCAUGUAAAGUCUUCUGAAAAUUGAAAACUAAUUUAUUAUCGUGUAGUUAUUAGCACAAUCACAAAGGAGGUCACUGGUCUUUCCUUUAAUUUCUGUCACAGGCUGCAGGCCGUUAUUAUGCUAAAUCAAGGAUACGGGGAGAUAAUUAACAUAGCAACUCUGGCAAGUUUAAUAGGUGAGUGAUGAACAUUGAGAGUUGGGUUUCAAAAUCCAUGUCUUAAUUACCACCCGCCUGAAUGCGGUGAUGAAGCGGUAUUCCAGCACGUGUAUUACAGAUACCCUCUGUCGGGCCAAAGUUUCUGUGAGUAGUCUGUGAAAGUAUUAUUCG
rnacentral:lncRNA from 1 species